CCCAAAGGUUCCCUCAGAAUGGUUGGAAAUCAUUCGUAGAGUGUAAAGGCACAAGGGAGCUUGACUGCGAGACCUACAAGUCGAGCAGGGACGAAAGUCGGGCUUAGUGAUCCGGUGGUUCCGCAUGGAAGGGCCAUCGCUCAACGGAUAAAAGCUACCCCGGGGAUAACAGGCUUAUCUCCCCCAAGAGUCCACAUCGACGGGGAGGUUUGGCACCUCGAUGUCGGCUCAUCGCAUCCUGGGGCUGUAGUCGGUCCCAAGGGUUGGGCUGUUCGCCCAUUAAAGCGGUACGCGAGCUGGGUUCAGAACGUCGUGAGACAGUUCGGUCCCUAUCCGUCGUGGGCGUAGGACAUUUGAGAG
rnacentral:rRNA from 2 species